GGUAUGCUAAUACGGGAUAAUAUAUUUGAGAGGCAUCUCUUGAAUAUCAAAGGUGAGCCAGUACAGGAUGGACCCGCGUCUGAUUAGCUAGUUGGUAAGGUAACGUCUUACCAAGGCGACGAUCAGUAGCCGACCUGAGAGGGUGAUCGGCCACAUUGGAACUGAGACACGGUCCAAACUCCUACGGUAUGCAGCAGUGGGGAUUAUUGCACAAUGGGCGAAAGCCUGAUGCAGCAACGCCGCUUUAGU
rnacentral:rRNA from 1 species